AUCGGCCAGCGCCGUCGCCCACCAGAACACAUUCCCGAUCAAAUUCCCUCCGCCGGAAAGCGGCGGAUCCGUGACGUCGUGGAGGUUCACCGCCUGGACUAGGAUCAAAGUUUUCGGAGAUCCGGGGAGCGAACUCGACGCCACCAUGUGGCAUUUCCAUAUGAAACAGGACACCGCCUCAACUCUAGACCGCUUGAUU
rnacentral:lncRNA from 1 species